rnacentral:rRNA from 1 species
GCGACGUGCUAUACAUGCAGUCGAGCGGACAGAUGGGAGCUUGCUCCCUGAUGUUAGCGGCGGACGGGUGAGUAACACGUGGGUAACCUGCCUGUAAGACUGGGAUAACUCCGGGAAACCGGGGCUAAUACCGGAUGGUUGUUUGAACCGCAUGGUUCAGACAUAAAAGGUGGCUUCGGCUACCACUUACAGAUGGACCCGCGGCGCAUUAGCUAGUUGGUGAGGUAACGGCUCACCAAGGCGACGAUGCGUAGCCGACCUGAGAGGGUGAUCGGCCACACUGGGACUGAGACACGGCCCAGACUCCUACGGGAGGCAGCAGUAGGGAAUCUUCCGCAAUGGACGAAAGUCUGACGGAGCAACGCCGCGUGAGUGAUGAAGGUUUUCGGAUCGUAAAGCUCUGUUGUUAGGGAAGAACAAGUGCCGUUCAAAUAGGGCGGCACCUUGACGGUACCUAACCAGAAAGCCACGGCUAACUACGUGCCAGCAGCCGCGGUAAUACGUAGGUGGCAAGCGUUGUCCGGAAUUAUUGGGCGUAAAGGGCUCGCAGGCGGUUUCUUAAGUCUGAUGUGAAAGCCCCCGGCUCAACCGGGGAGGGUCAUUGGAAACUGGGGAACUUGAGUGCAGAAGAGGAGAGUGGAAUUCCACGUGUAGCGGUGAAAUGCGUAGAGAUGUGGAGGAACACCAGUGGCGAAGGCGACUCUCUGGUCUGUAACUGACGCUGAGGAGCGAAAGCGUGGGGAGCGAACAGGAUUAGAUACCCUGGUAGUCCACGCCGUAAACGAUGAGUGCUAAGUGUUAGGGGGUUUCCGCCCCUUAGUGCUGCAGCUAACGCAUUAAGCACUCCGCCUGGGGAGUACGGUCGCAAGACUGAAACUCAAAGGAAUUGACGGGGGCCCGCACAAGCGGUGGAGCAUGUGGUUUAAUUCGAAGCAACGCGAAGAACCUUACCAGGUCUUGACAUCCUCUGACAAUCCUAGAGAUAGGACGUCCCCUUCGGGGGCAGAGUGACAGGUGGUGCAUGGUUGUCGUCAGCUCGUGUCGUGAGAUGUUGGGUUAAGUCCCGCAACGAGCGCAACCCUUGAUCUUAGUUGCCAGCAUUCAGUUGGGCACUCUAAGGUGACUGCCGGUGACAAACCGGAGGAAGGUGGGGAUGACGUCAAAUCAUCAUGCCCCUUAUGACCUGGGCUACACACGUGCUACAAUGGACAGAACAAAGGGCAGCGAAACCGCGAGGUUAAGCCAAUCCCACAAAUCUGUUCUCAGUUCGGAUCGCAGUCUGCAACUCGACUGCGUGAAGCUGGAAUCGCUAGUAAUCGCGGAUCAGCAUG